UCUGCUAUCCUAUCUUCACAUGAAACAGACCUUAAACACGCGUGUAUGGCACCUACGGAUUGCUCUGUCAAAUUUCUUUUCAAUGCACAUCCUUCCUUUGGGGCUGAUUUUAGCCCUAUCAGCAAUCCUGCCUUGUUUCUGCCUUGGCACUGGACACAAAUCCAAAUCCCCGAGGAGCUUUCUGGCUCCUUAAGCGAUCUGUCACCUCCACGACCUCACAAUGUCACCUUCACAAAGGCCAGCACACUCUUCCCCUCUGAACACAGCAAAGAAACAAGUGUCUAAGGGGCUGGCAUCUGCUGCUGGGAUACUGUGGCACAGUGUGGCAGGAGAGGUCAAAACUACCACCAAAAAUGGUAAGGCACCAGUGACUGCACCACCACACCCAGCUGUGUGCUGUGCUCCCCUCUGCAGCCCAGAGCCAAGAAGUCGUGGCACAGCCUUUCUUCCAUCUCAACCUUCGCUCCUGCAAAGCCUUCCCUCUGCAAGCAGCACUCUGGUGAUAGUAACACCACUGUGUCAUCCACUCUUCAUUCCAUCCAGCGCUGGAAAUGCUGUUUCCCACCUGGGGCACUGCUUUGGGCGUGCAUAGCCCCACGACUUAAUGAAAUCUCCCUCAGCUGCAGAAAUGAAACUCCUGACCUCAUUACCCUGUGCUGACCCACCUACGAUUGCACCACAAGGCUUCGUAUGAAAUCCUCAAAUUUGCCUUAAUGCACUGUCACAGCCGUUUUUCUCACCACCGACGGCAUCAUUGAACUUUCACAACUAAAACAAAAAGAGGCCUGUUUCAAGAGAGCAACUGCUGCUAAAUAAUUAACAGCAGUAUUUUAAGCUAGAAGAAAAGAAUUAGCAUUGCUUUGGCCUUUGAAGUUCACGUCACUUGGCGUAACAUGGAACAGUCCCUCGCUACAUGACAGUGGGAAAGAUGGGAACUCAUAACUGUAAGGAACAAGCCCUUUUCCAGUAUGAGACAGGCAAAUCGAGGAGUAGCCUGCAGCUAAAAGGAGCACAGGCAGGGUCUGCGGUGUCAGUGUUUGACAGCACCACUCUUUUCAGAAAGAGUGGUCAGGCACUGGAACAGGCUGCCUAUGGAGGUGGUGGAGUCACUGUCCCUGGAGGUUCUCAAGGAAAUGGUAGAUGCAGUACUGAGUGACACGGCUUGUUUAGUGGGUAUGGUGGUGACGGGCUGUUGGUGGACUAGAUGAUCUUAGUGGUCUUUUCCAAGCUUAAUGAUUGUUGAUUCUAGGAAAUCAUCACACCCCCAGGUUCAGGAAGUCUUUGAGCUGCUGGCUGUGCUAAAAACAUUUGGAUGCUGGUAUACUGGUAAAGAUGAGGAAAUGAAAGCAGCAACUCCUUAGCAGCAUGAUCACUAUCCCUCUGAAUCAUUUAUUAUCUGACUGAUGCUCUUGUUAAGCAGCCAUGUAAGCCUAAACAUUCAGUUCUCCUGCAUGCUUGAGAAGUGUUGACCCUCCAAGAGGAGCUAGGCCUGGAGGGCUAACAAUAUGGAAACCCUGGAAAGGUUUGGCUCUCCUGUGCACACUUCUGACCCUGCCCAGGUUUCCAGCAGCAGGAGGGACGGGACCAACCCACCUUGACGUGUGGGUGCUUGGCACAGGUGGUGCCCCAGAUGCGGGCACAGCGCUCCUCCUUCCUGUGCUCAAAGUACUCAGGGUCCCUGAGGAUGGCCACCCUGUGCCCCGCGUAGCUGAGUGCCAGUGCCCCACAGCCCUCCAGCCGCUGCUUGUCCUGCGCUGAGAUUGGCAGCACAAUGGGGAUGCUCAGGUUGACGACACCAUCUGCAAAGAGAAGAGUGCAUGUCAGUGUCCUCCAAAGACCUAAAGCAGCAUCCUCUUGGCACUUGGGAUGGACUACAGAGGGUUGGUAGGAGAGGCUGGGGUGCACUGAGGCAUUCAGAGGCACAAAUUCUCCUGUUGAAGAGGAAGGCCAAGUUUUCUACUACUAUCUCAGGGACUCACCAUCAGUGACAUGAAUUUAUUCCCCGCCCAAUUUUUGUUCUGUGCUGUUAACAAAUGCCAACAUUAGUGGGCAAAGAAAGCUCCUUAUCGCAGUGUCAGAGAUGCCCCAAGGACACCUGGAGUAUCUCACUGUUCUCUUUUUCUCUCAGAAGGAUUUGUUCUUUUCCAGUAAGUUGUUUUAAAGUCUCUGCAGAGUUUCAAUGUUCUUGGUGAUCACAGCCCUGGCUAUAGCUCUCAUGUCCUCUUCCAGGACAACAACCUCCACUCAGACCUCUUCUACUUGGACACGCCAGCAUUAGCACACUGAGAUCAGUCUCUUUCAUGGGUUGCCAUUCAUGAACAAGAACAAACAGAUCACAAAUCACUGAUUCACUUUGCUUGGAUCUGACAGAAAUCACGUUGGACACCUGAGACCCUUAAUUGGAGGAUUUUGACUAUUUCGUUUAAUCUUUUUUAAAUGGUUCCAUUUGCUUUAAUUCCCGACCAGAUAUAAUUCGCUUGACAGGCAGCAAUUUUCAAGCACCUUGCUGAGUAAUUGGGUACCCAUAACUACUGUCACAUAUGAACCAAUCAACCAAUUAAAUAUAUGAAGUUAUUUGAAUAAUCUUAUUAAAUAUGUUAAUAUUUGAACAUUAAUUAAAUAUAAACAUUAUAUCUAUUUUAUACAUAACUAGCCAACGAUCAGUCAAUAAAGUCAGCAUGGAAAAAGCUGGAUUAUGAAACCCACAAACGACACUGAAGCUGAAGAUCUCCAUGUUCCACAUCCAAAUGCAAGAUGCCAAUAAAAAUCACUCCAGUGAAGGUGAGUAAUUACAAAAUGACUGGGAUUUUUGUGAGGACUGCUCAGUAGGAUGCAGGGUAAACAGCUGAAUCAUAAACAAGAUGUGGUUGUGUCCAGUCUUAAUAAUUUAAAUAGCAAAAAAAAUUAUAGCAGAAACUCUAAUUGUAGUGAUUUUCAUAUAACCUAAGGGUAGUUAUAUACGUACCAGCUACAGAGAGGUUCUUUCCUGGGAGAACACAAACAUAAUUAAGAUAAUUAACACUCACAGACACCCGUUACAUUUUGCAGAAUCAAAGCAACUCUGAAAACUUCAGCCCAGAUUUGCUCCUCAAAGUGUGACAAAAGCUACAAAAACAUGUGGGAACUGCUCCAGACACCCACCUGAAGACCCUGCUCUGUCAGUGCAGACCUCAGCACCAAGCUGCUGCCCUGCAUGACCGCGGCAGUAUCAGGGUCCUCAGGGAGGAGGGCAAGACUCCCCACAGGGCAUCCUGCACCAAGAUCCCAAACCCCUGAGGCUGGAGACCUCUGCUGGGUCUAAAACCCAAUGUGUGCACUGUGCGCGUGACAAUCACAUCUCUAUCUGAGACCUGGGACACAAAGAUCUACCACACCAGACUCGAGAACUGACCUGCACUGCUUGAAUAUAUUUGCCUCUUCCAGAGACAGAAACCCCUGGCUAAUUAAAGCUAAUUAACAGCUAAAUCCAAUUUAUUUUAGAGUAAGGUAACGGGGAAAUAUGAAAAUAAGAGAAGCAAAAUCAGACUCUGGCCUCGUUUCCAAGCAGCAGCUGCCCCCUGCUCCCACUUGAAAUUCAGCCUGAUGGCCUCCCCUGGUUUGAGGUUUGCAUCUUUAUUUACCCCAGGAGAACUCAGCACGGUAUGAGUCACACAUACGUAUGUUAUAUACAUACAUACAGAGUGAACACGAAGGUGGGCCCGUACCGUUCAGCAGCGUGCCAAAAUGGAUGACCUGCAGGUACUCUGCCUCGCGCAUGAAGCCCUUCAGUGGCGUGGCCCAGCCUUCGCUCAGCACUUGCACCCACUGCAGAUCCAGCUACAAAACAAACCCAGACAGCUCUCUGUCACCAAGUCAUGCUGCUUUUCCCUCCCAUCUGCUGCAAAAGCAGUCUCACUGCAUUACAUAAAGGAUGUUCCUAAAGGGGAAAAAGUGGCGUCGGUGUGAUGGUUUAGAUCAGAUGUUAGGAGGAAAUUCUGUAGUCAGACAGCGGUGAGGCACUGGGACAGGUGGUGAUGCCCAGAAAAGCUGUGGAUGCCUUAUCCAUGGAGGUGCUCAAGGCCAGGAUGGAAGGGGCCCUGAGCAGCCUGAUCUAGUGGGAGGUGUCCCUGCUCAUGGCAGCGGUUGGAACUGGAUAGGAUUUAAGGUCCUUUCCGACGCUAACCAUUCCACUAUCCUGCAAAUAAGGCACUGAACAAAACUUCUGCCCUUCAAACAGCAAAAGGACUGAGUUACAGAGCAGCAUUCAAACGAGAUGGUACCUUUGUGAUCUCCACGGACGGCAGUGCAUUUGCUUCAGCUCGGGCAGCAUCAAGUUUAUUUUUGGGUACAAACAGCUCAAAAACGUCCUUAACUGAUGCACAGGGCACAAUGUUCUGAAAGAGAGAGAGCGAUGGUAACGCUGGUUUUAAAUGCACAGCAAGAACCCAGAAUGUGAAGCCAGUUUACAAGCUGACAGUGGUGGUGGUAAAAAUAAGUGACCUACUUGUGUUUGCAGGAGCUCCACGACCUGCUGGAUGCAUUCAGACACUGACGCAAUGUUUGUCUUCAGCACCAGGUCAGGAGAUUCGGGCUUCUCGUAGUCUGAGUCAAUCCCUGUGAAUCCUAUUGACAAUUAAACCCAAACCAAACAUACUUAAUGUAAUAUUCCAUGCCCUAGAGUCCACACUACACAAACAAACAACGAGCAUUCAGCACUGUAAGUGACACUUGUGACAGUAAGACCAGGGAAAUAGGACACCCUUGUGCGCCACGAAGAGCCUCUACCAUCCCACCUUGUGAUUUUCUAUGUGCUCAGCACUGUUAAGUGACACUUGUGACAGUAAGAUUAGGGAAACAGGAUACCUUUGUGUGUCACAAAGAGCCUUUAUUAACCCACCUCGUGAUUUUCUAUGUGCAGAGCUGCAAAGAUUAGCUCUCUGAAGCUUUGGAAAGCAAAAGGCAAAUUAAGAGCUCAUUCUUCCAUACCUUUGAUCUCUCCGGCUCUUGCCUUUUUGUACAGGCCCUUCACAUCUCUGCUUUCACAAAUAUUUAGAGGAGCAUCUACAAAGAUUUCAAAGAAAGGCAACCCAGCAGCCUCAUGAAUUUUCCGUGCAUUCUGACGAUCCUGUGAGAAGAAAGGUGGGAAAAUGGCACAUGCUGCAUUGCAAUAAGCACCCUCCUGCUCUCUGACGUUUUCUGAAAUUUGACAGAGGCACACAGGACUGAUACACAGACCUUCCACAGGCAUCGCAGCACACUGCCCAUCCUUCAAAGCCUCCACUCCCCAAACCAGGUAGGAUUGUUUUGGUAUUUUUUUGUGUGCUAGUUGUUAGUUUGCUUUGCAGGGGGGAUGUCUUUUUGGGCAUUUGGAGCUUGCAAGCUGAGACAUCGCCAUUAUGGUCGAAUCCAUGCUUGUCCCCAGGGGUCUGGACUCCUGAAGCAGGACUAAAUGAGCACAUGUAGAAGGUUACAGCCACCAAAGAUAACCCCUGCUCACAAAACACAAAGGUAAAUGUUGCGGCUUUACUCCUCGCAGAGGUCUGGCACCACGGUGGGAGUGCCUAAACUCGCCCCUGUGCCUGCCCACCAUAGCUAUGUAAAUGCCCACCAUGCCAGCCCUGCAGAGAAGCUGCUCAGUGCAGCACGAUGCCCGAGCAGUAACUGCACAGCCCUCCAGUGCUCCAGCAUGCGGAACAGCACUUUUGCAAUUUAUCUGCAAAUGACAACAGAAGAGGCAGGUAUUUCAGCACAGAGAAAUGAAACCCACAUACUCAAAAUAUCCUUUCUACGCCCCUUUGCUGCCUGUGUCAGCAGGAACUCCGGCAGCACGCUGAUUUCCUUGCAACGUGGUUCUGCAAGGCGCUGAUCUACCCAGCACGGCAGGGACUACGAUAACGUCUGUGCUAUCACGUUCCUACCUGGCUGACAUCAUGAGGUUAUUAUCUUUAAAGCAGACGCUGCUGCAAAUCUGCACCAUGCACAUCUUGGAGCAGGUUUUUUUGUUCACACUAGCAUCUUCUGGAGCUUGGGAAAGCAACCCAGCAGCAAUUCCAGAUGUGGGUGGCACUCUUGCUCAUGGCAGGGGUUGGAGCUGGGUGGGCUUCAAAGUCCCUUCCAACCCGAGCCAGUCUGUGAUUCUAACUCUAGACCCCUCCUACCUGCUGGUACCAGAUCCCUCCUAUUUUGCUCCUAUGUUAUGAGCAAUUUCGCUGCUAAAGAGGUGAGGCAUCCCCAGCACCACACGUCUGAAACAGCAGGACUCACACCAACCCCAGUCCUUGCCAUCAGCUGCACAGGACGCUA